GCCAUUUGGAUACAUUGAUCGACACAUCGCAGUUUGGACCAAGGGUAAUUUUUGAGCAUAAUCUGCUCAAUUGGCAAGCGCAACAGGGAAUAAAAACACAAGCCAUUCACACUGAGGCAUGCGCUUUAUUGGCAAAUGAAUAUCGUGGCGAGGAAUCUUUUGAAGCAAUACUCAGUAAGUCGGCGGGUGGAUCACAAAUCCUGAAAUACUAUGCGCAAAAAAAGUGUCUCACUCCAAAGUAUAGGAAACUUCUAGCUGCAACAGUUGCAAAUUAUUUUAUUUCUGCUGAAGUACAUCCAAACCCUAAAACAUUUGAAGCUUUCGCCAAUAAAAUUGUGGAUUUAUUUACGAGUGAAUCUAAAGAUAUAUAUUACAUUCAUAAGAAAGGAAAAAAGCCAGGUGGAUCUCUGUAUGCUAAGUACCACAGUGUAUUAUUGAAACUUAGACGGGAUG